UGGCAGAACACACACACACAGACAGGAACAGAUUUUAAUCAUUAACACACAAACUAAUCUGUAGACUAGAGGCAAAUCCAGGCUUGGGCACAUUCCACUGGUUCAGGGAACACAAGAGCUCUGACAGACAUUUCAGGAUGACAACUCAGCCUCAGGCCUAAAGAACCGUGGGAGCCAUCUUAUUAACUGACGCAUGAUUGUAAACAACGCCCCAAAACAGCUUUCUCUACACUUUUGUAUUUAUUUGGAAAACACUACUGAAGGAAAAGUAUUGCUUUGCGGUUUAGGCCAGGAAUACUAUUUGGCACUUUGACUGGGCUCUGGACAGUGAACUCCGUGAGGCCCGGCACAUAGAGCUGACCGCUACCAUCUGGAUUCAUCUUGAUGUCCAGCUUCUCACCCUGGUUGUCCCCCAAAAGGUUCCUACAGGAAACAGCAACGCACAGUCACAAAGAUUGUCCCACUCAAAUAAAAAUAAAAAAAUUCUUAAAAUGA